rnacentral:rRNA from 1 species
AGCGAACGCUGGCGGCAGGCCUAACACAUGCAAGUCGAACGGACCCUUCGGGGUUAGUGGCGGACGGGUGAGUAACACGUGGGAACGUGCCUUUAGGUUCGGAAUAGCUCCUGGAAACGGGUGGUAAUGCCGAAUGUGCCCUUCGGGGGAAAGAUUUAUCGCCUUUAGAGCGGCCCGCGUCUGAUUAGCUAGUUGGUGAGGUAAUGGCUCACCAAGGCGACGAUCAGUAGCUGGUCUGAGAGGAUGACCAGCCACAUUGGGACUGAGACACGGCCCAAACUCCUACGGGAGGCAGCAGUGGGGAAUCUUGCGCAAUGGGCGAAAGCCUGACGCAGCCAUGCCGCGUGAAUGAUGAAGGUCUUAGGAUUGUAAAAUUCUUUCACCGGGGACGAUAAUGACGGUACCCGGAGAA